UACAGAGGGUGCAAGCGUUAAUCGGAAUUACUGGGCGUAAAGCGUGCGUAGACGGUUGCGUAAGUCAGAUGUGAAAGCCCUGGGCUCAACCUGGGAAUUGCAUUUGAGACUGCGUAGCUAGGGUGCGGAAGAGGGAAGCGGAAUUUCCGGUGUAGCGGUGAAAUGCGUAGAUAUCGGAAGGAACACCAGUGGCGAAAGCGGCUUCCUGGUCCAGCACCGACGUUCAGGCACGAAAGCGUGGGGAGCAAACAGG
rnacentral:rRNA from 1 species